rnacentral:lncRNA from 1 species
CUAUGUUAAGCUACUAUAAUUUAGUUUUUUGGGUGUGAUUUGACUGUAGCAGUAUAUUUUUUACGGUUUUGGAUAAUCCAACUAUACAUCAGGGAUCAACCCCCUAAUGUGCAGUAAUUAUAUCACGAAACAAAAUUCAGCAAUCCCUCCCUAUUCUUUAUCUCUUUAUUAUGCUCAAUGAUAGGAGAAAUGCUUGCAAUAUCAUGUCGUUAGUAUUGAAAUUGAUUGGGACUAUUUCCUGUAUGCAUCAAUAAUUUUCUUUUUCUUGUAGCAUGAAAAUCAUGUAUUUAAUGGAUUAAGUUGUAUAUUUAUACACAUGUUCAUUUAGAAUUUUGGGGUUCAGAAAU